rnacentral:rRNA from 1 species
AUGGAGGACGGCAUCCUACGAGAGGCAGUCGUCGACUCCUUCAUGGAGGUCACGGCCUGCGACUCACGGUCGGCUGCCGAGCGUCACCUUGCCUUCUGUGGCUGGCAACUCGAGGCCGCCAUCAACCGCUACUUCACCACCGGCCUCGCCGACCCCGCGCCCGAUCCCCCCGUCGCCGCCCGCUCCGAAACGAUGCACGACGACACGGUGCGCGAUCCCAUCCCCGCCCGCUCCGCCGCGCUGUACGGCAACGCCAACUUGUACGCUGCCGGUUCCAGCACUGCCCGCGCCGCGCCGUCCAUAUGGAGCGCCGACAGGGCUCGGCCAUCUCCCUGGGUGCGCGAUCCCAUCCCCGCCACGCUGUACGGCAACGGCAACUUCUACGCUGACAGGGCGCCGCCAUCUCCAUGGUCUGUUGAUCGUCCGGCGCCGAUGGAAUAUACAUUUAUUCCUGACAUGACCGCGACCGGGUGUGGAUCUGAUGGUGACACCGGCUCAAAGGAAACCGAAGAAAUCAACAUGAGCGACCAUGACGAACAAAUGAAGGUGGCCGAAGAAGAUAACAGGCAAGAGGACAAGGUGGCGAUGGAAGAAGAGUACGACUACGGUGACAUGCAGGCGGAGGACGAGUACCACGGCACGGAGUCGGACGACGACGGCGCCUACUUGGAGGCGGCGGAAACUGACAGCAACGACGGCCGCAUGGAGGCACUGGAGGGGCAACCGGGCCAGACCGAGAAGACGCUGGAAGAGCUGUUCCGGCCUCCGUACGAGAUCAUGUUCGGUGGAAGCUUCCACAACGCCAAAGCACACGCGGCGAGCAAGGACCGUUGGCUGCUGGUGAACCUACAGUCAAGCGGCGACUUCAAGUCGCAGCAACACAACCGAGACCUGUGGUCGAACGAGGUGGUCGUCCAGGUGAUCAAGGACAAUUUCAUCUUCUUGCUUCUGGAGAAGAGGGGGCGGGAAGGCGACGAGGGGCUCAAGGUGUGCUCCUACUACAAUGUCCAUCAUGAUCAGCUUCCAGCCGUGCUCGUCCUCGACCCAGUCACGGGGCAGUUGCUCGAUAAGUGGUGCGGCCUUGUCCAGCAGCCCGAUGAUUUCCUGACAAGCAUUGGCAAGUUCACCGAGUCGAAGCCCAGCUUGAUGUCCAAACCCAGGAUAGUCCGAAGAACGGCAACGCUCGAAAGCGGUGAAACCCCUGCUGCACAAGAACAUGCAACCGCAAUGCCUAACACCGCUGCCUCUGAUGCACAACCGGCUCCGGCGCCCAAGGUUGACGAGGUCGAGGCGGCUCCGGCGCCCAAGGUUGAGGAGAUAGAGGCACCUGCGGUGGACGACGGGCAGCCUAUGGAAGGAGAGACGGUCUGCAAGCUGAGGGUACGGUUCCCUGCUGGUAACAUGGUCACCAAGGAGUUUGGGAGUACGCGGAAAAUCGCGGUGCUCUUUGCAUACUGCAGAUCAGUUGUAGUUGAACAGACGGGGAAGGAGCAGGCCUUCCGGAUCAUGAGGCUGGCUGGACAGAACUUCGAAGAGCUGCUCGACGUUGGUGCCUCGUUUGAUGAUUUGAAGCUUAGUCGCGAUACCAUCUCAGUCGUGCUACAUACUUAG